UGUAAGCGUAUACCAAAGUUGUUGCAGUUAAAACGCUCGUAGUCGGAAUUUGGCAGUUCCGGAAGUGUGCACGUCGUGUGCGCACUUUGCGGGGACUGCUUUUGUGGUCUUGCGUAGGAUGAGGCACUUUCAUUAGUGAACGUCCUCACGCAACCACUCUUUACUGUGAGAAAAUCAGAGUGCUCAAAGCAGGCAUUUGCCGUGAAUGUAUUAGCAUGGAAUAAUAGAAUAGGACUCGGUUCUAUUUUGUUGGUUUGUUGGGACUGAGUAAUGAUUAAGAGGGACAGUUGGGGGCAUUUGUAUUCCGGCGCCAGAGGUGAAAUUCUUAGAUUGCCGGAAGACAAACUGCUGCGAAAGCGUCUGCCAAGGAUGUUUUCAUUGA
rnacentral:rRNA from 1 species